AAAACGUUUUAUAAAAUUCGAUGUUGAUAGUACAUUUUGUUACGAGUGAUGAAGAAUUGAAUUUUUCGGUACUAGUCGUACCGACGUGUACCGAAAAAUUCAACUUUCAUCCCGAGUCACAAACGACGAUUUUUGUUCUUGAAAACUGAAAUGAGACGAAACCACAACGCCAUUAACAUUGAAAUCACUCUACAGCCAUAUUUCAACAACAAAGUAUGCACACUUAAUCGCGGCCGGAAAAAUAUAU